rnacentral:rRNA from 1 species
UGGUUUUCCAGGCAAAUCCGGAAAAUCAAGGCUGAGGCGUGAUGACGAGGCACUACGGUGCUGAAGCAACAAAUGCCCUGCUUCCAGGAAAAGCCUCUAAGCAUCAGGUAACAUCAAAUCGUACCCCAAACCGACACAGGUGGUCAGGUAGAGAAUACCAAGGCGCUUGAGAGAACUCGGGUGAAGGAACUAGGCAAAAUGGUGCCGUAACUUCGGGAGAAGGCACGCUGAUAUGUAGGUGAAGUCCCUCGCGGAUGGAGCUGAAAUCAGUCGAAGAUACCAGCUGGCUGCAACUGUUUAUUAAAAACACAGCACUGUGCAAACACGAAAGUGGACGUAUACGGUGUGACGCCUGCCCGGUGCCGGAAGGUUAAUUGAUGGGGUCAGCGCAAGCGAAGCUCUUGAUCGAAGCCCCGGUAAACGGCGGCCGUAACUAUAACGGUCCUAAGGUAGCGAAAUUCCUUGUCGGGUAAGUUCCGACCUGCACGAAUGGCGUAAUGAUGGCCAGGCUGUCUCCACCCGAGACUCAGUGAAAUUGAACUCGCUGUGAAGAUGCAGUGUACCCGCGGCAAGACGGAAAGACCCCGUGAACCUUUACUAUAGCUUGACACUGAACAUUGAGCCUUGAUGUGUAGGAUAGGUGGGAGGCUUUGAAGUGUGGACGCCAGUCUGCAUGGAGCCGACCUUGAAAUACCACCCUUUAAUGUUUGAUGUUCUAACGUGGACCCGUGAUCCGGGUUGCGGACAGUGUCUGGUGGGUAGUUUGACUGGGGCGGUCUCCUCCUAAAGAGUAACGGAGGAGCACGAAGGUUGGCUAAUCCUGGUCGGACAUCAGGAGGUUAGUGCAAUGGCAUAAGCCAGCUUGACUGCGAGCGUGACGGCGCGAGCAGGUGCGAAAGCAGGUCAUAGUGAUCCGGUGGUUCUGAAUGGAAGGGCCAUCGCUCAACGGAUAAAAGGUACUCCGGGGAUAACAGGCUGAUACCGCCCAAGAGUUCAUAUCGACGGCGGUGUUUGGCACCUCGAUGUCGGCUCAUCACAUCCUGGGGCUGAAGUAGGUCCCAAGGGUAUGGCUGUUCGCCAUUUAAAGUGGUACGCGAGCUGGGUUUAGAACGUCGUGAGACAGUUCGGUCCCUAUCUGCCGUGGGCGCUGGAGAACUGAGGGGGGCUGCUCCUAGUACGAGAGGACCGGAGUGGACGCAUCACUGGUGUUCGGGUUGUCAUGCCAAUGGCACUGCCCGGUAGCUAAAUGCGGAAGAGAUAAGUGCUGAAAGCAUCUAAGCACGAAACUUGCCCCGAGAUGAGUUCUCCCUGACCCUUUAAGGGUCCUGAAGGAACGUUGAAGACGACGACGUUGAUAGGCCGGGUGUGUAAGCGCAGCGAUGCGUUGAGCUAACCGGUACUAAUGAACCGUGAGGCUUAACCUUACAACGCCGAAGGUGUUU